AGAGUUUUAUCCUGGCUCAGGAUGAACGCUAGCGGCAGGCCUAAUACAUGCAAGUCGGACGGUAAGCGCCCCCUUCGGGGGUGCGAGAGUGGCGCACGGGUGCGUAACGCGUAUGCAACCAGCCCCGUCCAGGCGGAUAGCCGGUGGAAACGCCGGAUAAUACGCCACGGUCCCGGAGGGGGGCAUCCCUUUCCGGGUGAAGCGGAGACGCGGGACGGGACGGGCAUGCGUGCCAUUAGCUUGUUGGCGGGGCGACGGCCCACCAAGGCUACGAUGGCUAGGGGAUCUGAGAGGACGGUCCCCCACACUGGUACUGAGACACGGACCAGACUCCUGCGGGAGGCAGCAGUAAGGGAUAUUGGUCAAUGGGGGGAACCCUGAACCAGCCAUGCCGCGUGAGGGAAUGAGGCCCUACGGGUCGUGAACCUCUUUUAUUCGGGGACAACGGCGGCGUCGCGAACGCCGCGUGAGGGUACCGAAGGAAUAAGCGUCGGCUAACUCCGUGCCAGCAGCCGCGGUAAUACGGAGGACGCGAGCGUUAUCCGGAUUCAUUGGGUUUAAAGGGUGCGCAGGCGGCCGUGCAAGUCAGCGGUGAAAGCCCGGGGCUCAACCCCGGAAGUGCCGUUGAUACUGCGUGGCUGGAAUGCGGUCGAGGCGGGCGGAACGUGGCGUGUAGCGGUGAAAUGCGUAGAUAUGCCACAGAACGCCGAUAGCGGAGGCAGCUCGCCAGGCCUGCAUUGACGCUCGGGCACGAAAGCGUGGGGAUCGAACAGGAUUAGAUACCCUGGUAGUCCACGCCGUAAACGAUGGGCGCUCGUCGUCGGCGACAGACCGUCGGCGGCCAAGCGAAAGCGAUAAGCGCCCCACCUGGGGAGUACGGUCGCAAGGCUGAAACUCAAAGGAAUUGACGGGGGCCCGCACAAGCGGAGGAGCAUGUGGUUUAAUUCGAUGAUACGCGAGUAACCUUACCCGGGCUUGAACUGCAGGAGAAGUAUACAGAGAUGUUGACGUCCUUCGGGACUCCUGUGGAGGUGCUGCAUGGUUGUCGUCAGCUCGUGCCGUGAGGUGUCGGCUUAAGUGCCAUAACGAGCGCAACCCCUCUCGUCAGUUGCCAUCAGGUAGUGCUGGGCACUCUGGCGACACUGCCACCGUAAGGUGCGAGGAAGGUGGGGAUGACGUCAAAUCAGCACGGCCCUUACGUCCGGGGCUACACACGUGUUACAAUGGGUGGUACAGAGAGUAGGGUGCCGGCAACGUCGCCCCAAUCAUUAAAGCCAUCCUCAGUUCGGAUUGGGGUCUGCAACCCGACCCCAUGAAGCUGGAUUCGCUAGUAAUCGCGCAUCAGCCAUGGCGCGGUGAAUACGUUCCCGGGCCUUGCACACACCGCCCGUCAAG
rnacentral:rRNA from 1 species